AGGGAUUUAGCUCAGUUGGUAGAGCAACGGUUUCCAAAACUGUGUGUCGCAGGUUCGAGUCCUGCAAUCUCUG
rnacentral:tRNA from 1 species